rnacentral:rRNA from 1 species
UACGAAGGGAGCUAGCGUUGUUCGGAAUCACUGGGCGUAAAGCGCACGUAGGCGGUUCGUUAAGUCAGGGGUGAAAUCCUGGAGCUCAACUCCAGAACUGCCUUUGAUACUGGCGAUCUUGAGUCCGGAAGAGGUGAGUGGAACUCCUAGUGUAGAGGUGGAAUUCGUAGAUAUUAGGAAGAACACCAGUGGCGAAGGCGGCUCACUGGUCCGGUACUGACGCUGAGGUGCGAAAGCGUGGGGAGCAAACAGG